rnacentral:snRNA from 1 species
GGAUGUGAGGACGAUCUGGCUGCGACAUCUGUCACCCCAUUGAUCGCCAGGGUUGAUUCGGCUGAUCUGGCUGGCUAGGCGGGUGUCCCCCUCCUCCCUCACCGAUCCAUGUGCAUCCCUCCCGAAGCUGCGCACUCGGUCGAAGAGGAUGACCCCCCGCACCCUCCCCCCCCAGGAGAGGACCAGUCUUCGGUCAAGGGUAUACGAGUAGCUGCGCUCCCCUGCUAGAACCUCCAAACAAGCUCUCAAGAUCUGGGACCCGGAUGUAGGUCUGAGCCCUGGAUUUAGGUCGGUCCU